UAGGGAAUUUUCGGCAAUGGGCGCAAGCCUGACCGAGCAACGCCGCGUGAGUGAAGACGGCCUUCGGGUUGUAAAGCUCUGUUGUAAAGGAAGAACGGCCUGGAGAGGAUCCAGGAGUGACGGUACUUUACCAGAAAGCCACGGCUAACUACGUGCCAGCAGCCGCGGUAAUACGUAGGUGGCAAGCGUUAUCCGGAAUUAUUGGGCGUAAAGGGUGCGUAGGCGGUUGGUUAAGUUUAAGGUUAAAGCGUGGGGCUCAACCCCAUACAGCCUUAGAAACUGGUCAACUAGAGUACAGAAGAGGGUAGUGGAAUUCCAUGUGUAGCGGUAAAAUGCGUAGAUAUAUGGAGGAACACCAGUGGCGAAGGCGGCUACCUGGUCUGUAACUGACGCUCAAGCACGAAAGCGUGGGGAGCAAAUAGG
rnacentral:rRNA from 2 species